rnacentral:rRNA from 1 species
CGGGUCUCUGGGCCGUUACUGACGCUGAGGAGCGAAAGCGUGGGGAGCGAACAGGAUUAGAUACCCUGGUAGUCCACGCUGUAAACGUUGGGCACUAGGUGUGGGGGCCACCCGUGGUUUCUGCGCCGUAGCUAACGCUUUAAGUGCCCCGCCUGGGGAGUACGGCCGCAAGGCUAAAACUCAAAGGAAUUGACGGGGGCCCGCACAAGCGGCGGAGCAUGCGGAUUAAUUCGAUGCAACGCGAAGAACCUUACCAAGGCUUGACAUGUC